UACGGAGGGUGCGAGCGUUGUCCGGAUUUAUUGGGUUUAAAGGGUGCGUAGGUGGGUUAAUAAGUCAGUGGUGAAAUACGGUUGCUCAACAAUCGAGGUGCCCAUUGAUACUGUUAAUCUUGAAACAAGUGGAGGUUGCCGGAAGUGGAUGGUGUAGCGGUGAAAUGCAUAGAUAUCAUCCAGAACACCGAUUGCGAAGGCAGGUGACUACGUUUGAUUUGACACUGAGGCACGAAAAGCAUGGGGAGCAAACAGG
rnacentral:rRNA from 1 species